AUUUUAUCCUCUCACCACCUUUCUCCUCGCGGUUCUUAAAGAAGGCUAACCUUCAUUCACUUGAGGAGAGUUUCAUGGAAGAACACUCUUAAUUAUCCUUGCUGAAUGACUAAUGACGCUUUAAACAGUGGAUUUCAGUGUCUAACCAACAAUGUCAGUACAGAACAGUCAUUGGCUUUAGAAAACUUCUAAGGAACUGUACGUGACAUUUGCAGACUGAGAUGGUGGGAGUUGUGUAAGUGCACAGGAAAGUUUGGUCACUUAUAUUAUGUAACCCUGUAUGUAUAUAGAGAUUUUCUCCUCCACUUUGAAGAACUACCAGCUACGUAGACAAAAAUUUGUGCUAAUGUUGAUAUAUACAUAUUUAUAUGUACGGUUAGACAACAGAAGAAUCAGUUUGGACUUUUAUCUCCAAUGAAUUAAAAAUGGUUUCAGAGAAGUUCUAUCACCGUGAAA